UAUUGUUUUCCAUCUUUUUCUUAUUGAUUUGUAGGAAAUAUAAUCUCCUGGAUGUGAGUCUUUUGGUGGGUAGACGUUCUACGAAUAUCCUUUCCCACCCUGUGGCUUCUCUUCCCUCCCUUCAAAGUGUCUUUUGAUGAACAGACGUUCUUAAUUUUAAUGCUGGACAGUUUGUCAAUGUUUGUCUUUCACAAUAAAGUGCUUUUUGGGGUCUCUUUUACAGACAUCUUUGCCUGUCCCAAAGUUAUGAAGAUAUUCUGCUUUCUCCUAGAAGCUUUAUUGUCAUAUCUCUCACAUGUGUAUCUGCAAUCCAGCUGGAGUUGAUUUGCGUGUAUGCUGUAAGAUGUCUGGUUGCCUACUCUGUGCUGGUUACUGGUCACUGGGGAUCCACAGUGGACAAAACGACAGCAAAUUCCAUUCUCAUGGAGAAAGGCAAUGCGAACAUAAAUAAAUAAAAUGCAUCAAGUGUGAAGGAAGAUGAUAAUUGCUGUGGAGAAAAAUAAGGCAGGACAGAGGGACUGCGCGUGUUAAUUUCUCCUGCCAGUGCCUCCCCUUAGCAGAACCUGGCCUGCAGCCCACUGGUGGAAUUGCUGGUCAAAGAAGCCUAGGGAUCGCCCCCCUCCCCGCCUCCCUCUGGAGAUGCAGGGCAGUCCCAAGGAGAUGAGAACUGGCCUUGACAGUGGACCUUCCGACAGCGAGAUACCUCCUCACAUCCUACCUCCUCCUGGCUAAAGUGAAAAAGACCAAUCACACCAAAUGCUGGCAAGGACAGAGAGGACCUGGAACUCUCUCAUCUUGCUAAUGGUGUGUAUGGUAGUAAAAGUACUUCGGAAAACUGCUCGGCAGUCUCUCUGAUAAAGCUGGAUAGACACCCACCCAGGACCCAGCAAUUGUACCCCCAGGGAUGUACCCGAGGAGAAGUGAGAACCUACAUUCACAAAAAAGACUUGUCCUCGAAUGUGAAUAGCAGCGCUGUGAUAGCCAAAGUGCUGGAAACAACCCCAAAUGUCUGGAAACAGGAAAAUGGAUUAAAUUAUGGUUAAUGCCUACAAUGGAAUGUGCAUUACAAUAAAAAUAAGCACACUAAUGCUACAUGCAACCACAGGGAUGAAUCCCCAAGACAUUACGCCGAGUAAACUAGGCCAGACGUAACGGAGAACAUAAUUGUGUGACUGCGUGUAUAUCAAGCACAAAGACGGGCAAAACCGAUCUACGGUGAUGAGGGAGGGUGGCCUGGCAGGGGGCACGAGAGAAACCUUCUGGGAUUACGGAAAGGCUCUCUACCUUGGUCUGGGCGUUGACAGCACAGAUACGUUUGACAAAACUCCUCAACUGUACUCUUCGGAUCUGUGUAUUUCCUACUCUGGGAAAGUGACACCUCGAAAAAGGAAGAAAAUGUACAAACACAUAAAAGACUUCAGCCUUUGUCUCCCUUCCUCUGCCACCAGCCCAGCUCGAGGAGUGCUUCUCGAUGUCAGCCAUCCACGGACCCCGUGGCUUUCUCCCACCCUGCACACGGGGGCGGAUCCAUGUUGCCACAGCAGCCGUUGGGGACAGCACGUAGCUCUGGACCUGGAGCCCAGGAUGCCCCGUUUAAGUCGUGGCUCAUCCUCUCCCAGCUGUGUCAUUUAGUUGAGCCACAUCACUUCUGGGAGUCCUCUUUUAUCAUCUGAAAGACGGGCUAACAACACCUCCUUCAGAGGAUUGUUGGGGAAAUGCAAAUGAGCUAGCGGCAGGGAAAGAACUUCUGGAAACAAGAAUUCAGCAACCAUAGGGUACUGCUCAUACCGCUCAGCCACAGGUGACCCUGACCAGCGUGGGCCUGACUCCUGCACAGUUGACAAUCUGGGUAUAACUUUUGACUGCCUGAAAACUUUAUUACUGAUAGCCUGCUGUUACCAGAAUCCAACCAGUAACAUAAGCAGUCAAUUAACACAUAUUCUGUAUGUGUAUUGUAGACUGUAUUCUUUUUUUAAUGUUUACUUAUUUAGAGAGAGAAACACAGAGAAAGACAGUAUGAGUGGGGGAAGGGCAGAGAGAGAGAGAGAGAGAGAGAGAGAGGGAGACAGAGGAUCCCAAGCAGGCUCCACACAGUCAGCCCAGAGCCCAACACAGGGCUCGAUCUCACCAACCGUGAGAUCGUGACCUGAGCCAAAAUCAAGAGUCAGAUGCUUAGCUGGCUGACCGAGCCACAGAGGCGCCCUGUAUGCUGUAUUCUUACAACCAAGUAAUCUGGAAGAGAAAAUGUUAAGCAAAUCAUAAGGAAGAAAAAAAUACAUUCACGGAACUGUACCGUAUUGAAAAACAUCUGCAUAUACGUGGACCCGUGCAGUUCAAACCUGUGCUGUUCAAGGCUCAACUGUAUAUAGGAAAUUUCAAUGGCUACUUGUGUAGCACUGAGGCAGAUUGGAUCGUCGGCCCCAAUUCUUUCCUCCUGGUGAUCUGACUCUACGCUCACACCCUGUGUCACGUGACUCCACGUUCCCACCGCGCUGGCGGCCGGCUUGGUCACCUGACUCCCAAUGGCAUGUCAGUGGAUGCGAGCAGAGCACAGGAUGAAAAACGUUUGUGCUGUUUGAGCUCCAGCGAUAGCCUCACUGGCCCAAGGAGAACGUGGAGUAGCCUUGAGCCCAACCCACAGGCUGUAAGAAAAACAAAGCCUUGUUGUAAACCAUGAAGUGCUCCCGUGAUUUGCGAGGCAUCAUUUCUGUGGUGAUGGCUGACUAACGCAGCCUCAAGGUCAUCCCCACGAAGUCUCCAUUCACUUGCCUCUCCAGUCCCAUUUCCAACAACUCAGCUCCAGCUGAAGCAGUCCGUUCACUGUCCCGUGAAACUCAGCAGCCCCUCUCACUCCCCCCCUGCCUCACUUAAUGUCUUGUUUUCCUUCCCUGUCUCCUGUCCUUUCCUUCCCUGUCUCCUGAGUGCCAAAGGUUUUCUCCCUCCACUGUGCCCGUCUGUACCAGCUAUAUCAGUCUAUACCACCUAUCCUUCGAAAGACAAUGGGAGUACCACUUCCCUGCAGAAGCUUGUCUUCACUGCCCACCCCACCCGCCCUUGGGCACCCUCCCUCAGCCGAGCUCCUGCAGCCCAGCCAGUCUAUGUCCAUCACCAUUGGCUUAAUCUUUCCAAACGAAUAGAAACGUCCUUCGUCUCUCUGGGGCUUAGGAGUUUUCUGGUCAGCAUGGAAUUGUGCUUUGGGAAAUACCUGUUGGCGAAGGAAGGAAGGAAGGGGUCAACGAGACCCCCCCAAGUCACUCGCCGCAGAACAGCCAGCUUCCCUAAAGUCUGCCUUCGCUAAGGUCUACCUUGGCGCCCGGUCCAGAAGUUUCAGUGAGUACCACCCACCUGGUAAUCUGGGGAGGACGCAUCUGCCACCUGGGGUGAAGCGCAAGAGAAGGGCAGUGGUUCUAACUCUGUUCUUCUUCCCCAUCCCUGUCUCAUCCCUUCUCUUACCCGUGUCUCUAUCUCACUUACGGGCUCUAAUGACUUCCCAGACUGUGGACUGUCAACCACCCAGCUGGGAUCUAGACUGUCUAAACCUAUCCUGGUUUUCAUCUCGGUGUGGGUGCCCAGUGUUUCGGGUUGGUUGCUCAAUAAAUACUUCAUGUCUGCUGGGA